rnacentral:misc_RNA from 1 species
AACGCACAUUGCGCCCCCUGGUAUUCCGGGGGGCAUGCCUGUUCGAGCGUCAUUACACCCUCAAGCUCUGCUUGGCGUUGGGAGCCGCCCGUGCGGUCCCGAAAGGCAGCGGCGGUCCGCCUGGCCUCGAGCGCAGUGAAUCUCUCGCUCUGGAGAAGAGGCAGGGCCAGCCCUCACAUCACCUUUUGACCUCGGAUCAGGUAGGGAUACCCGCUGAACUUAA